rnacentral:rRNA from 1 species
AGAGUUUGAUCCUGGCUCAGGACGAACGCUGGCGGCGCGCCUAACACAUGCAAGUCGAACGAGAGAUGAGGAGCUUGCUCUUCAAAUCGAGUGGCGAACGGGUGAGUAACGCGUGAGGAACCUGCCUCAAAGAGGGGGACAACAGUUGGAAACGACUGCUAAUACCGCAUAAGCCCACGGCUCGGCAUCGAGCAGAGGGAAAAGGAGCAAUCCGCUUUGAGAUGGCCUCGCGUCCGAUUAGCUAGUUGGUGAGGUAACGGCCCACCAAGGCGACGAUCGGUAGCCGGACUGAGAGGUUGAACGGCCACAUUGGGACUGAGACACGGCCCAGACUCCUACGGGAGGCAGCAGUGGGGAAUAUUGCACAAUGGGGGAAACCCUGAUGCAGCGACGCCGCGUGGAGGAAGAAGGUCUUCGGAUUGUAAACUCCUGUUGUUGAGGAAGAUAAUGACGGUACUCAACAAGGAAGUGACGGCUAACUACGUGCCAGCAGCCGCGGUAAAACGUAGGUCACAAGCGUUGUCCGGAAUUACUGGGUGUAAAGGGAGCGCAGGCGGGAGAACAAGUUGGAAGUGAAAUCCAUGGGCUCAACCCAUGAACUGCUUUCAAAACUGUUUUUCUUGAGUAGUGCAGAGGUAGGCGGAAUUCCCGGUGUAGCGGUGGAAUGCGUAGAUAUCGGGAGGAACACCAGUGGCGAAGGCGGCCUACUGGGCACCAACUGACGCUGAGGCUCGAAAGUGUGGGUAGCAAACAGGAUUAGAUACCCUGGUAGUCCACACCGUAAACGAUGAUUACUAGGUGUUGGAGGAUUGACCCCUUCAGUGCCGCAGUUAACACAAUAAGUAAUCCACCUGGGGAGUACGACCGCAAGGUUGAAACUCAAAGGAAUUGACGGGGGCCCGCACAAGCAGUGGAGUAUGUGGUUUAAUUCGACGCAACGCGAAGAACCUUACCAAGUCUUGACAUCCCUUGACGAACAUAGAAAUAUGUUUUCUCUUCGGAGCAAGGAGACAGGUGGUGCAUGGUUGUCGUCAGCUCGUGUCGUGAGAUGUUGGGUUAAGUC